CACUGGGUCAUCAAUUAAUCCCUACUGAGAUAGAGGAAGUUGUCAAACCUGCUUUUCUGCCACUCAGGCUCCAUGCUUUGGCCAUCACAAAACUGACCCUAAGAGAACUUGUCUGAAACUGCCAAGCUGGAAGUGCAGCAUUGAUUGGAUUGCACUCCCAAAGCCUGUCAGCAAUCACGAGCAGCACUUGCUGGACAACCUGCAGCACUUGACUCAGCACUCACUGGACAAUGGUAGCAGCCACUGUCCAGAUUAAAGCACACCCAAAUUACAGCCAUUUUCUGUCUGCAGAUCGAGAGUCACAGGACUGUCUUUUCCAUGACACCACUUUAGGCCCCUGCUGCUCCUUGCAGCAGGACACAAUUUUCCCCUUGCAGUUUAGAGAGACACUAGAAAAGUCUGCUGCUGAGAGGAAAUUAAAACUGCAGUAGCCAUUAAGAUGGGAAAAAGAUGUUCAUUCCAGGAGAUAAAUAUGGCAAUGCUUAUUCUGCUGCCUUCUACACAAGAUUCAUUUAGGCAAGCAGGCCUAUCUGCCCAACUUUAUUCACCACCCUCGGGAGGUAUUCCUGCUGCCUUGGAUUUACAAUGCCAGAGGGUAACUUCUGUGAAGAGACUAACAUCCCUGCAGAUAAAGGAAAGAAAGGAGUUCUCCUGCAGAGUAGUUCAGAGCAGGACCUGUAGCCAGGCCCUGAGUAGCACUUCUGAUAAAACUCUUUAUCUCCACUGAGGAACCACAGAGAGGAGAAUGGAGAAAAUUAUGUCCCUUAAACCGAGCUAUUUCAGUAUCUUAUGGAAGGUUUCAGGGUUCAAAGCUUUUUCUGAUUUUUUAUACUUGAAUUCAAUCAAACCCAGUCGAUUUGCAUAAAAAGCCCAUUUGAAAAUAACUAGCUAGAAGUGCCAAAUUGCCAGCCCAGGAGGAGAAGCAUUUUUUAUGAGCAGUGUGGAGUUCUCAUGACCAGAAGGAUACACUUUCAGUACCCUUCACAAUGCCUGGCACAGAAAGAC
rnacentral:lncRNA from 1 species